GUUAUAUACUCUAUGUUACAAGUCCCGACUAGGCAGUGUCAAAACGACAUCUAUUUCUUUGCUUGCUUUGUGAUCAUACCCCUUGGAGGCGUUACAGGUCUCGUGGCAUUUGGCUUCUUUUUCUCUGCAGGCUUUAAAAUCUGAAAAGAACACAUUAGUGUUUCAUCCACACUCAUCAUGGCACCUGCAUUGUCAAACUCUCCGCAAUAAUUGGGCGCAGAAAACAGAGUGACCAACUG
rnacentral:lncRNA from 1 species